GCCCAGGUAGCUCAGGGGUAGAGCACAUCCUUGGUAAGGAUGAGGUCGGCGGUUCAAUUCCGCUCUUGGGCU
rnacentral:tRNA from 3 species